GUUUCUGGUGUCGUUUGCUGAGGAGGAGGUUGCCAUGUAGCUCACUGUCUGUAAAGAGCCCAGUGCAGGGUCUGGGCAUAGCAGGUGCUUAGCCAGCGGGAGCCAUUGUGAUGGUGGUGCAAGAAGCCAGGAGGAGAGAGGGCCUGGAAGCCGCAGGAGUCAGAGCAGAAUGAGGGUGACACCCUGGAUCAGCCCCUCUGGGGACUGGCGUGUGGCCUGCGACAUCCAGCCGUGGUAGCAGAAGGCUGGCCUUGCCUCUGUGGUCUGGGGCCUCUCAGGACAGGCUCUGCAGGAUUUGGCAAGGAUGACUGUUCUUGUGCCCUCCUGACCUGUCCAAAUAGAUGAGUGUGUGGUCCUGCCCUCAAGACUAUUCUGGGUCCCUGCCAGCUCUGGUACUGGGUGGACAGGUGGGCUCGAGGCUGGCACGCAGAGGGGAGAGAAGUCAGGGACAAUCUGGGGGCCUGGUGUCUGGCCAGGACCUGCCCUAAGUCCUGUGCCAGGCUGACGUCACUAAGUGUGAGGCCUGUCACUGGGCACAGGGGUGAUGAGGCGGAAGGAAGGUCUUGGAGGCCAGGCAGCCAUUGUUGGCUGGCUUACCUGGAUUAGGCUUUUCACGUGGAGGGAAGAAAGAGAUCUGCUUUGUCGCAGCCGAGGCAUCAGGCUGGAAACACGGUUGGUGUUCCUGGCAAUCCCCGGCACUCUCCAGAGCUUAUUUGUUGCCUUUCCGAGACACAUCCAGGUGCUCUCUGUUAUGAUAACAAGUGGUGACACAGAGUUAGCUUGAAAUGGGAUAAACAAACAGACUAAAAAUAACUGGAUUUGGGGUGGCUUGGCACCGAACCCAGCUUGCAGGCUGUCGCUGCUCAGCCAAGGGUGAAGGCAGGCAUCAUCAAAGGCACCGACCCCGGAGCCCUGGGGGAGCUGGGCAAGGGUGUGGCCGAGCCCCUCGCCUGCCCCACUCCCGCCACCGUGGAGCUGUGGGCCGCCUGAGGGCGGAGGUGCCAGAUGGUGCCUGAGACCCCGGCAGGAGGGGUGUGGUGGGCCC
rnacentral:lncRNA from 1 species